GUAGGAUGGAGUCCUAAGAAUUAUGAACUAAGCUUGGAUUCUAGUAGAAUGAAAGACACGGUGAGAAGGUGACCUUUUUCCAAAGUUCAGCUGAAUGGAGGAUCACAGAGUAGCAUGAGGAGAGAUACUUCAAAAUAUCUUCAGAGAAGCAUGAAAAGAGAUUCCCCAAGAUGCCUGGCUUUGAAAUACAUAAUUAAACAGAGACUAGAAGUGGAGUCUAUGGGCCACGAUAAGAGAAAACUUCAAUGCUUUUCCUGACUGCUUUGGAAUGUUGGAUUUUUAAGAUGGUUUGAUGGACUACUUUACAGAUGUGAUUUGGGGACCCAGCAGAAAGAAUAUGUUAGCAGUACCUGAGCCUCACUGACAGAAUUCUUGAGAAUUAUGGACAUUGAAACCAAAUAGAAAUUAAAAUAAAUAUGGCUAU
rnacentral:lncRNA from 1 species